GACGAACGCUGGCGGCGUGCUUAACACAUGCAAGUCGAACGGAAAGGCCCUGCUUUUGUGGGGUGCUCGAGUGGCGAACGGGUGAGUAACACGUGAGUAACCUGCCCUUGACUUUGGGAUAACUUCAGGAAACUGGGGCUAAUACCGGAUAGGAGCUCCUGCUGCAUGGUGGGGGUUGGAAAGUUUCGGCGGUUGGGGAUGGACUCGCGGCUUAUCAGCUUGUUGGUGGGGUAGUGGCUUACCAAGGCUUUGACGGGUAGCCGGCCUGAGAGGGUGACCGGCCACAUUGGGGCUGAGAUACGGCCCAGAAUCCUACGGGAGGCAGCAGUGGGGAAUAUUGCACAAUGGGCGGAAGCCUGAUGCAGCAACGCCGCGUGCGGGAUGACGGCCUUCGGGUUGUAAACCGCUUUCGCCUGUGACGAAGCGUGAGUGACGGUAAUGGGUAAAGAAGCACCGGCUAACUACGUG
rnacentral:rRNA from 1 species